GCUACUGUGGCUCAGUCGGUAGAGCAGCUGAUUCGUAAUCAGCAGGUCAGCGGUUCGAUUCCGCUCAGUAGCUCCA
rnacentral:tRNA from 1 species